CCGAUUGCAACACAAUCUUACCAAGCCUCAACUAUGUUUAUAGCACGCUCUUACCACGACCAAACUACGAUCAUACCACGUUCAUACCGCGAUCUUACUAUGCUCCUAGCAAUAACGUCAACAUCGUGUUCCAUAUAAAUACUGUAUCAUUCCUUCUAUUUCUCAUUGAUACUUAGAGUUUCUCGGAAACAAUGCAGUCAUGCAACCAGUAUCUACGUAAGGGUAAGGGUAGAGGUAGAGGCAGAGGGAGAUCUGAUAGUAACGAAUCAUGAUCAGAAGAUAUAUGUCGGACCGACCAAUCCA
rnacentral:lncRNA from 1 species